UUCUUUUUUUCCUACACGCCUGUAAUCGCGGAUUUCUCGAGAUGUUGAUUGAUUCCGCGUUUCCUUUUUAUCGAUCAAUCAAGAACCUAGACUCUAUAUGGCACACAUACGAUCAAUCAUCAACUCAUUACCAAACUUAGAGAUCGAGACCUCUAAUAUAUAUACACACAACCACACAACUGUUUUCGACACAUCUCUAUCUCUCGCACUCUCUCUCUCGUUAAUAUAGUCUGCCGGAGAUUGAAGUCCACCGGAGUUACGAAACACCACUCACAAAAACUCAAACCUCAUCUGCACACGUCACUGGAACUCCAAGGCGACGUCGGAACGACUCAAAGUUCACCAGAGAAACCCGAAGCCACUGGAGCCGCACGGGAUCUACCGUAACUCGUUCCUUCUUCAUCUUCGCGGCCGGAUCCUCUUUCUUGUUCAGUUUUAAACGAAGAACACACCGGAGCUCUCGACGAACGCGACUUGACCCAAUUCGGAUAAACGCUCUCGUUCAUUCUCUUGGAUUCUAUCCAAUCUUGCUCGUACGUUCUUACAAGAAAGCGCAACGCAAUCAAUGUUGAUUGAUCAAGAUACAAGAAAACAAGCUAGGACGGCUUUAGAAACCCAUUCUAGAAAUAAACUAUUGUUUGAAUUUAUGUUUGAAUGUUUGAAACUUUGUAUUGUCCUUUGGAAUUUAAUAAAAUGAUUUAAUUCAUAUUGUCA